AUUCAGAUGACCUAAUAUUAUAAUUUAUUCACAUACUGUAAUUUGUCUGUUUCUUAAAGUAAAAAAAACAAAACAUUUUUUUCCUGAUAAUAAUCCUGCUGUGGUGGACGACUUGCUAUACUGCUCAAGUCCAACAGCCAUUUUAAGUGCCAUCCUGCUCCUCAGGGAUAUCCCACAUCCGUGUGAUUCGAGCCAGCUGUUGCUCCUGUUCGUGAAUAUGCAGAUCCUCCUUAAAUCUGUGCCACGUUUUGUGGGAUUUCCUCGCAACGAUUUCUGCUCCGUUGGCUGGGGCUCCCUCCAGCUAUUUCGUCGAGCCUCCCCUCCCCCUCCUCAUGUCGCUCGGCAGUGUGAGGAGGGGAAGACCCCGUCCAUGACUCUCCUGCAACCCGACUGCCCAGAAGACCCCUCCAACGUUCGCAAGGGAAAAACACUAAAUGGCGGACAGCUGGUGCAUACUACAACGCUUAGGAUAGCGCGUGUAAGACGGGGACUGCAGGACCUGAAGGGAAUGAGUCGGAAGGUAGAGGAGAGGAGGGGGGAAUCACCGUGGCAAACGGAUCUCGUUUGUUUUAAGACAUCUGCGCUGUGUGGUGUGCGAGAGAGACGUCUUGCUGAGGAAUUGGUCGCUCCGAAGGAGGGGGAGGGGAAGGCAGGCUUAUUACACAAUAGGUGACUCGAGCGUUACUUUCACUCGUUUUAAAUAAUCAAAAAUAAUACCUCAGACUACCGGGCGCGCCAGCUGUUCUCGAGGGCUUUAUUUACCGCGCUGCCCGCCGACUGCAAGCUCGAUUAGCGUUAAUAUAGACCACUGGCGCGUUCCCAGGUCCCUUGUAGCCUACUCGAAUUUAAAAAUAACAGGGAAAUCUAUGCGCGACAUCUCGCAUUCCCAGUACGCCGACGACAGACACGGAGGCUGAAUGGCGCGAUUUUUGAAAGCGCUCUUUGCAUAAUGUUUGUUUUUACUUUCAGAUUUCUCUACGUUUACAGUUUUUUUUUCACCAAGUAGCGUCAACUAAAGCACUCAAGAAAGUGGGACUUGACCAAACCACAGAAGCAUGGAUAUCAGUGCGUAAAGAGUUUGUUUUCUUCAGUUACUUUUCUCUCUCGUGGAUGUGUAUUCUUUUUUUCUCUCUUCAAACGAAACACGUAUGCCUGUUUCACAUUUGCGAUUUGUUACAAUGCCAAAGUCAGCUAUGUAUUGACGGAUAGGCAUAUUUUGAAAGACAAAAUGAUUUUGGAUUGCCUGUACAACAAAAAGGUGGGCCUAGAACUAUUUUUUUUCAAGGAAUGCAGUUUAUAGCUACUGUAUGUUUUUGCACGAUGCUGAUUGUAUUGUAUAGCAUUAAUGUUCCAGGUAUUUGAUUUAAUGCAUGCACACUACACUCUACGAAAGCAGUGUAUGAUCAAGUGUAAACACUUGUAGGUUCAAGAUUAAGAUGUUAAAUGAAUGUAGAAUAAAUAUUUAGAAUAUAAAGCUAUCUCGUUCCUGUGUGUGUGUAGAUGACUGAGUGUGAGUGUGCGUACACGCCUCUUAAUCUCAAAUAAUGGGCUAAUAUUCGUGGGAAAAACAAGCCCGGGGGAGAGAAAGACGUUAAUUUCAGUUUCGUGGAAUUUUGACCAAAGUGGGUAGCCAGCAGUCACUAAUAAAUAAGCACACCCGGCUACUUUUUGCCUAUAGACGUGGACAUGGAACUGCCCGUUUAUCAAAAUGCGUAUAGGCCUACCACAUAGAGUUGGCUCCAUUUUGUGUGUGUGUGUGUGUGUGUGUGUGAGAGAGAGAGAGAGAGAGAGAGAGAGAGAGAGAAUGGUAAACACAAACGGCACAAGACAAUAACCAGGUUUAUGUUCCACUUAAUUCCCAGAAAAUAUUACACAAGGGCAAAUAUUGUUGUAAGGGGCUAAGAACUGUGCUUUUAUUGUGUUUGCUUAGAUUAAAAAAAAAA
ensembl:lncRNA